UUGACCUCAAAUCAGGUAGGG
rnacentral:rRNA from 1 species